rnacentral:rRNA from 1 species
AACGCUGGCGGCGUGCCUAACACAUGCAAGUCGAACGGAGAUAUGAUUUCGGUUGUAUCUUAGUGGCGAACGGGUGAGUAACGCGUGAGCAACCUGACCUUCAGAGGGGGAUAACAUUUGGAAACAGAUGCUAAUACCGCAUAAGACCACGACCCGACAUCGGGAUGAGGUCAAAGGAGCAAUCCGCUGAAGGAGGGGCUCGCGUCCCAUUAGAUAGAUGGCGGGGUAACGGCCCACCAUGUCGACGAUGGGUAGCCGAGCUGAGAGGCUGAUCGGCCACACUGGAACUGAGACACGGUCCAGACUCCUACGGGAGGCAGCAGUGGGGAAUAUUGGGCAAUGGGCGAAAGCCUGACCCAGCAACGCCGCGUGAGGGAAGAAGGCCUUCGGGUUGUAAACCUCUGUCCUUGGUGACGAAACAAAUGACGGUAGCCAAGGAGGAAGCCCCGGCUAACUACGUG